AAUAAUUUUAGGGAGAUUGAGGGAUGGGAGCUUAUUGCUGGCGGGGACUAAUUACGGGAAAUAGCGAUCAAUAUGCGAAUAUAGUAUAUUGAUCGCUAAUUCAUUAUUUAAUGUGGUUCUGUGACUCUUAUCACCUGUGGAACAGCCAUUUACUCAUCGACUCACAGUAAAAAGGAAGAACGGAAAUGCCGAGGAUGUGUGAGUAUAUUGGAAAAGAUCAGCAAACGCCUCCCGACCCUCGGGAUCCAUAAUCACUUCAGUCCCAAUAGCGUCAUCGAAGAGGAAGUGAAUGCCGCCUGCAAAGCAGCAGAGUUAACCGAGGAACAUCUUUUCUGUUAUUACAUGAUCAACGCGCUUAAUCAGACGUUUAGCGUGCCAGUUUUGAAGGAGCUCGCGUCUGGGAUGUCCUCACUGGGUGCAUGCAAGAGACUUCAAAAGGUGGACCCGAAAAUAUGCGAAGGGAAGCAUUAUGCAAAUACAAUGUUAUCUACGGGAACGGAAAACCAUGAAGAAGGAUAUGCAAAACAAUCUGAUCGUUCUCAAAAGGAGCCAAAGGAUACCGUGACAGCAGCUCACCCGUCUAGUCCGAUUGGCGGUGAAUGGACAUGGCGCGAACAUUGUGUUCAAAUAAUCAUCGGCCUCCUUGUCUGUGCUGGCAUCGUUUUCGGGAUGGCGAUAUCCUGGCGUACGAAGGAGCGCUUUCCUGGUUCGGGAUGAGCUUUUCUCCCGUGCCGCGAUGAAGCGUCCUUCUCGGAAAAUGAGCCAUGGGCUGUCUUCAUGCGGACUUCUCUCUAUCCGCUUUCUAUUUAAAUACCGCCGAAAACGACAGAUUUCUCAGCAGUAUGCGUUGCCCAUACAGUACAGCGGGCGUUGCCGAUGCUGACUAGGGUGUUUGCUGUAAAUGGCAAUGCCCAUAGACAUUCUGUAGCAUAAAAAAGUUUUAUUUUGUUUUAAUCAG